GCCGAGGAUCACUUAGUUAAUGGUACAAUGUCUGUUUUAACAGGUCUCAGAGUUAAGAAAAGCAAAGAGUUUCAUAAUUCCAUCCAAGCCUUUGUGAAAGUGCCAUGAAAAGAUCAAACAUGCAGUCCAGCAGCUUCUGUGUAAUAUGCAGUCUUUCCAUAUUAGAGGACUGAUAAACAACCAGUGUUUUUCUUCACACAUUAACUGCAUAAGUAACAACAGCGAUUUGACAGCUAGUACAACUAUCAAAAAUAUGGCAGCAACUUGUGCUAAUGUUUUCAUUAAAUCUCUUCGUUCUUCACGUUCUUAUGAACAGUUUUCCGGUGUAAAUGAGAGUAACACCUCGUGGCCGUAUGGCAGCAGUGAGCUGGAGGAUCCAGAGCACCACCAUGCGCAUCCUUUCUUGACUCUGCCUCGAUCCGCGUUUAGGUCAUUCACAAAAAAAAAGCAGAUUGACACCACUACCGUCCUACGAUUCUUUUUUUUAUUUUGGGGGGCGUUAACUCGCCUGAGGCAUUCUGAAGAUGUUCACCUUUGAAGAAUUGCAGCCAUACACGAAAUACAACCUUUGUGUCUCAAUUAAAUCGCGCUGUACAGCAGCAGCUGAGCGGAAUGUUUUCAGGUCACAUAGUAUGUUUUACGCGGUGGUUCGCUGUCACCACACGGGUAAAAUAUGCCUCAUUCUUACAUGCAAACACAAACGUCUGCGUCGCCUCGACAGGGAGAAGCCCGUUUCCUUACUCCGACGACCGUAAUAAUGUAUAGAACAAAUGAGGUAGGCUUCAUAGGCUAUCUGUGAUGCAGACGAUAUCUGACCCACUUUCUCACCUAGUAAAUCCGCGGUGGCGUCGGUUGUAGGACAGUAUCCCUGUUCCAGUCAAGCGGGGCCGAUGAGCUGGACAGCCGGGUAAAGAUGCGAGGAUGCGCAGCUUGCUUCGGACGCCUUCCUGUGUUUUUGAAGAUCAGCGGCGAAGGACCGGUAUUCGUCUGCUCGCUGGCCUACUGCUGCCUCCACUUCUUACUGCACACUCAUCCAAUCACACACACCGGACUAGCUGGGUGACUGUCUAGGUGGCCUUUGGCUACAAUAGUCGAGCCCUGAAAACCAUGUUAUCGUGCAGGCGAAAGGCAGCAGUGACAGUGCUGCGGUGCUGCUACUACUGCUGCUGCUGCUGGUGUUUCCUUUCCUCCGCAGGCAGGGCCGGGACGAUGAAGCAGCGGAUGAUAGUGUUUGAGUGCGGGGCGACGCUGAAGUAGGCUUAAAUGGGGGGGAUGGUUUCGUUGGGAUUGCGUGGUGGGGGUUCAAUUAGACAGCGCAGCGCCUAUUGGCACCGUCCUUGCGCACAGCCCUCCUCCAACUUCCUCCCAUCUUUUUCUUUCUCUCCUCCUCCUGGUCCUCACUCUCAGUCAUAGAAGUAGCAGAGUCUGAGUGAUGGUGCAUCAUGCUGUGUGUAAUAUAUCCCCCUAUUUACUACGCUAUAUUUAUCAGUGAUAAAGACAGAGUAUUUCUAUUUGUGGUCACUUUGAUGAUUGAGUUGAACUGAAACAUAUGGUUAAACUUUAAUAUGCGAACAGGGGCCUAUCCACAAGAAAUGCAAGUCCUUCCUUCAUUCAUUUAAUACUAUCAUCAUCACUUUUAUUAUUAUAUUGUUCAUUAGUCAAAACCCCAUAACAAGAGUUAUUUAUUCUGAAUAGUAAAGGUAACACCAAGAACAGCCUGAGCAAACAUUUCAAAUCAAUCUGCAGAAAAGACUCUAGGCUGAUGUAACUAUAGUUAACCCUAAAUAACUCUUAUGAGCCUCCCAUUGGAUAAAGAGGACGUUUGUAUGGUUCAUCAAAACAAACCUUUGCCAAAGUUUGGGGAGUAGAGAGAUUACAAAGGAGAUUUUUGUUCACAUAAGCAUGGGUAAACACUGAUGUAAAAAGUGGGGUUGAGUGGGGUGAUUUGCUGACUGAUGGGUGUGGUUUCUCUGUCUGUAUGUGUGUGGAUGUUUUAAAGCGAUGUUCAUUUGCUGAUGGCCAUGUGUAAAAUGAGAGUCCUAGUUUAUGAGGUGGAGCAAAAAGUGAUGCUCUACUUUGGGACUUAAUGAGUUUGCCUUUCCUGAAAGUGGGGUGUCCAGGGAGCUUAUCCUUCCCCGUCCUUUCUCUUCUUCCAGGCCUGAGAACAGAGAGGCAGCAGAAAAUUAGAUGUAAAUGUUGUAGUUCCUUCAAAUUUUAAAAUGAUACACCAUGAUACAGAGGGAAUAAAGUAUGAUAAAUUUAGGAUGUAUCAGUAUGAUCAAUUUUUAGCUGUUAAAAUAAAAUGUGUGCAUAUUUUAUGAAAUGAAAUUGAUCCAAGUGCACUAAAAUUUAGUUUUUUCCUCUUUGUCUUUAUUUACUCCGAAGUAUGAGAGGUGAAAAGAAGAUGGAAUGCAUCUGAAUCUGGAUCUUUUAGAGGACAGAUGAGCAGAUAUUUGGCUGUACUUUACAGAUGAGAGGCUCAACAAGUCUUGUUUUCAUUCGACAGGCUAGUACGAUUUUAUUUACAAACUCUUUGAAUGUGUGUUCGCUUUGAUCACUCCUUUAUAGUUGUAGAUUGAUUGUUUGUUUCGGGGUUAAAACUGUAUGUCUUUGUUAUUCAAAAGGAAAGCUUGGCAACAGACUGACCGGUGGGAGCAUUUGAUCAUCGCUGGAAUAUUAUUAAACUGAUAAAGCAUUUUUGAAUAGGUUCAAAUACAG